GCCUACGGGGCGCAGCAGUGAGGAAUAUUGGUCAAUGGGCGAGAGCCUGAACCAGCCAAGUCGCGUGAGGGAGUACUGCCCUAUGGGUUGUAAACCUCUUUUGUCGGGGAGCAAAGGCCGGACGUGUCCGGCUGUGAGAGUACCCGAAGAAAAAGCAUCGGCUAACUCCGUGCCAGCAGCCGCGGUAAUACGGAGGAUGCGAGCGUUAUCCGGAUUUAUUGGGUUUAAAGGGUGCGUAGGCGGAAUGCCAAGUCAGCGGUAAAAUCGCGGGGCUCAACCUCGCUCCGCCGUUGACACUGGCGUUC
rnacentral:rRNA from 1 species